rnacentral:rRNA from 1 species
UCCUACGGGAGGCAGCAGUAAGGAAUAUUGCUCAAUGGCCGAAAGGCUGAAGCAGCAACGCCGCGUGGAGGAUGAAAUACUUUUGUAUGUAAACUCCUGUGAGAAGGGAAAAAUAUGCAGAUUUUCUGCGUUGAUUGUACCUUCAGAGGAAGCCCCGGCUAACUACGUGCCAGCAGCCGCGGUAAUACGUAGGGGGCGAGAGUUGUCCGGAUUUACUGGGUGUAAAGGGUGCUCAGGUGGAUUUGUAAGUCAGAGGUGAAAUCCCAAAGCUCAACUUUGGAGCUGCCUUUGAUACUGCAAGUCUUGAGUUUGGAAGAGGGUAAUGGAAUAUCUGGUGUAGCAGUGAAAUGCGUAGAUAUCAGAUAGAACACCAAUGGCGAAGGCAGUUACCUGGUCCAAAACUGACACUAAAGCACGAAAGUGUGGGGAGCAAACAGGAUUAGAUACCCUGGUAGUCCACACCCUAAACGAUGAAUACUAGAUGUUGGUCCUUUUAAGGGUCAGUAUCCAAGCUAACGCAUUAAGUAUUCCACCUGGGAAGUACAAUCGCAAGGUUGAAACUCAAAGGAAUUGACGG